rnacentral:lncRNA from 1 species
UUUUUGCCGGUUCUUCCCGCUGAGGAAGUGUCGCUCAAGACGCUGGCCUAUGAGUUGUGAUUUCUGCCUUUUCCCCUUCCUCCUUGGGCUAAGCCAGACCAGAAAGGGCCCCGUGCGCAACGUGCUUCACAAUCUCUCAGGGAAAGCGGCUAACGUGGCGCUACUCCGCCUCCCCUGUUCCUUACCCUUGGGGCGGCCGCCAUGUUUCCUGAACACAAAAUGGCGACACGUGGUUAGCAUUCGUCGCCAACGAGAAAUUGGGGUCGGCCCGAAAGCUCUAGAAUGCACCCCUCUUCCUCCCCGGGGCCUUCCACCUCCGCGAGUUUUAUGACUUAAAAAAGCCCACAGGCUGGUCUGAAGGUCGGAGGCCUAAUUUUAACGCGUUUUCCUCCCUUUAAUUUGAAACGGGAACGCGAAUGACUGUAAAAUGUGGGCACAAUAUUUAAUCUCUCGCCUUUUUAAAGCUUAAUAGUGGAUAAUAGGGGGGCAGUAUCAAGGGAUAAUUUGGGUCCCCACAGUACCAAAGCAUUUAGAAACCUCUGUUUAAUUUAAGGAAUGAGAUAAGUUACUGCUUUUCUAGACUUCCUAGCAUGGGCUGUUGUGCUGGAGAGAACGAGAGCUACGAAGAGACUACAGUGCCUCUGACUUUUUCAUAGGACAGUUGGCCGAGGAAGACAAACAUAAAGAUGAAGUGCUUAAUUCAAGGUCACACAAUGUCGGGGAUGGACCUCCAGAUUUCCUUACUGAGACGGAGUCUUGCUAUGUUGCCCAGGCUGGUCUUGAACUCCUCACCUCAAGCGAUCCUCCCGUCUUGGCCUCCCAAGUGUCAGGAUUACGGGCAUGUGCUAUCACACCCAACCUGAUACAUUGCCUUUAUAAAUUUUUUUUUCUUUAUUCUAAAAACCAGAAAAAACAAAACUGGAUACAUGUGCAGAACAUGCAGACCAAGUGUGUUGGGGACUUGAGAUGCGUACAUGAGUGUGAUGUUUCCUGCUGAAAGCACAGGUGAGACGUGGUCUUGUAACACAGUGGUUAAGAAUGUGACUUUGGAGCCAGCCUGCUAGGGGCUGAAUUCUGACUCAGCCAUUUACUAACUGUGUGACCUUAGUCUCACUGUUGCUCAGGCUGGAGUGCAAUGGCAUGAUCUCGGCUCAUCACAACCUCUGCUUCCUGGGUUCAAGCGAUUCUCCUGCCUCAGCCUCCCGAGUACCUGGGACUACAGGCACUCGCCACCAUGCCCGGCUGAUUUUUGUAUUUUUAAUAGAGAUGGUUUCACUAUGUUGGCCAGGCUGGUCUCGAACUCCUGACCUUGUGAUCUGCCCACCUCAGCCUCGAAAAGUGCUGGGAUUACAGGCGUGAGCCACUGCGCCCAGCCUUGUAUUUUUUUUCAGUUUGGGUAGCUGUCCCUAAUUCAUUUGUUAAAGGAGAAGCAAGAGCAAGAACCUUUAAUCUGUUCUCCUCUUCCCUAAUUUGAAAGUAGCUUGUUAUUUUGAAUAUCACUUUCUCUGAAAUAGCACAUCUCCAUCUCAGAGAAUGGAUUUAAUGUUUGGAUACAGCCAAAAGUCAUUUCAUUACCAAACCAUGGGGUGAAUAUACCAUGUAAAGCAGUUUGGGAUCAGAACUCACAGUCUGAAUUGUAAGUGAUGAGACUGCUGUCUCUCUGCUACAGCUUCUUGGCUGGCUCUGAAGGCUCUUUGAAGGCAGAUCCUAACAAGGGGACUGCUUUGAAGGGCCAUUGUUCAUUUGGAAUGAUAAAGUCUAUGUUGUUCAAAAAACAAAUGCUUGUAGCAGGUAUUUUUUCACUCCAGACUGAGAAUAUUGGUGGGAUAUUGAUAAGGGGUACUGAAUGGUAAUAAACAUGUGCUCUAGCUCUGUGCUAGUCAGCUUAUUUCAGAACUCUAGUUUGAUUCAGUUUCUUGCCUCUGACUCAAAAUGGAGGGAGAGUGAUUUUUACAUAAGAGAACACACCCACAUAUCCUUUUGGCAGCAGCUACCUGCCAGAGAUGUUGAAGAAGAGUAGCCAACCUUUACACAGCAGAUAUUGUGUGCCAGUCAUAGUCCUAAGUAUAAUACCUUACAUGUAUAAACUUCUUAUAAGGUUGGUGCUCUGUACCGAAUUGAAUAGUAUCCCCCAAAAUUCAUGUUGUCCCAGAACCUAUGAAAGUGAUCU